CUUAAGCAUAUCAAUAAGCGGAGGAAAAGAAACCAACAGGGAUUGCCCUAGUAACGGCGAGUGAAGCGGCAACAGCUCAAAUUUGAAAUCUGGCGCAAGCCCGAGUUGUAAUUUGUAGAGGAUGCUUCUAGGUAGCGACCGGUCUAAGUUCCUUGGAACAGGACGUCAUAGAGGGUGAGAAUCCCGUAUGUGACCGGCCCGCACCUUCCACGUAGCUCCUUCGACGAGUCGAGUUGUUUGGGAAUGCAGCUCUAAAUGGGAGGUAAAUUUCUUCUAAAGCUAAAUACCGGCCAGAGACCGAUAGCGCACAAGUAGAGUGAUCGAAAGAUGAAAAGCACUUUGGAAAGAGAGUUAAAAAGCACGUGAAAUUGUUGAAAGGGAAGCGCUCACAACCAGACUUCUGGGCGGUGUUCCGCCGGUCUUCUGACCGGUCUACUCACCGUCCCGAGGCCAACAUCAUCUGGGACCGCUGGAUAAGACCUCAGGAAUGUAGCUUCCCUCGGGAAGUGUUAUAGCCUGUGGUGAUGCAGCGCGUCUCGGGUGAGGUCCGCGCUUCGGCAAGGAUGUUGGCGUAAUGGUUGUCAGCGGCCCGUCUUGAAACACGGACCAAGGAGUCUAACAUCUAUGCGAGUGUUCGGGUGUCAAACCCCUACGCGUAAUGAAAGUGAACGGAGGUGGGAAGCGCAAGCUGCACCAUCGACCGAUCCUGAUGUCCUCGGAUGGAUUUGAGUAAGAGCAUAGCUGUUGGGACCCGAAAGAUGGUGAACUAUGCCUGAAUAGGGUGAAGCCAGAGGAAACUCUGGUGGAGGCUCGCAGCGGUUCUGACGUGCAAAUCGAUCGUCAAAUUUGGGUAUA
rnacentral:rRNA from 1 species